UACGAAGGGGGGCUAGCGUUGCUCGGAAUCACUGGGCGUAAAGGGUGCGUAGGCGGGUCUUUUAAGUCAGGGGUGAAAUCCUGGAGCUCAACUCCAGAACUGCCUUUGAUACUGAAGAUCUUGAGUUCGGGAGAGGUGAGUGGAACUGCGAGUGUAGAGGUGAAAUUCGUAGAUAUUCGCAAGAACACCAGUGGCGAAGGCGGCUCACUGGCCCGAUACUGACGCUGAGGCACGAAAGCGUGGGGAGCAAACAGGG
rnacentral:rRNA from 1 species